UAGUGGUUAGUCUAAAUAAGACUAUUAAUUUCGACUUAAUAAAUUCCGAUUAAACCAGAGCCCCUAA
rnacentral:tRNA from 1 species